CCUACGGGAGGCAGCAGUGAGGAAUAUUGGUCAAUGGUCGGGAGACUGAACCAGCCAAGCCGCGUGAGGGAUGAAGGUACAGAGUAUCGUAAACCUCUUUUGUCAGGGAACAAAGGCGGGGACGUGUCCCCGGAUGAGUGUACCUGAAGAAAAAGCAUCGGCUAACUCCGUGCCAGCAGCCGCGGUAAUACGGAGGAUUCAAGCGUUAUCCGGAUUUAUUGGGUUUAAAGGGUGCGUAGGCGGUCGGAUAAGUUAGAGGUGAAAUCCCGAGGCUCAACUUCGGAAUUGCCUCUGAUACUGUUCGGCUAGAGAGUAGUUGCGGUAGGCGGAAUGUAUGGUGUAGCGGUGAAAUGCGUAGAUAUUAGGAGGAACACCAGUGGCGAAGGCGGCUUGCUGGACUGUAACUGACACUGAGGCUCGAAAGCGUGGGGAGCAAACAGGAUUAGAUACCCGGGUAGUC
rnacentral:rRNA from 1 species